rnacentral:rRNA from 1 species
UACGGGAGGGUGCAAGCGUUUAUCCGGAUUCACUGGGUUUAAAGGGUGCGUAGGCGGGUUGGUAAGUCCGUGGUGAAAUCUCCAAGCUUAACUUGGAAACUGCCGUGGAUACUAUCAAUCUUGAAUAUCGUGGAGGUAAGCGGAAUAUGUCAUGUAGCGGUGAAAUGCUUAGAUAUGACAUAGAACACCAAUUGCGUAGGCAGCUUACUACACGAUCAUUGACGCUGAGGCACGAAAGCGUGGGGAGCAAACAGG